CUCAGCUAAGAUUGAAUUCACCUGGCUAAACUUCACAGUCAGUCAUACCACACACACUAAUGAGUAACUAUGUUUGCCUCUUUCCACAAAGAUGUGCAUACAUGCACACACAAAUUAAUUUAUAAUUAUCUCCCUUUUUCAGGCUUCACCCAUAAUGAUCCCUGAUCCCCAACAGCUUUUGAAGUUCAUUUCAUUUCAGCAUUCAAAGAGUUCAAAGAAGCCACUGAAGAUUUAUGCUCUGGGAGAACGAUCUGUUUUUCAUCAUCUGGUUGCUCAGGUCCCAUAAAUAAGUUCAGUGCUUGACAGAACUUCAGCUCCUAAUCUCUGUUGGCAAGCACUUGCCAGGAUAUUCUUCAG
ensembl:lncRNA